UACGGUCACAUUACGUUAAAACAUCGGUCUCCGUACCAUCUCCGAAGUUAAUCAACGUCGAGCCUGGUCAGUACCAAGAUGGGUGACAGCUUGGGGGAAUACCAGGUACUGUAAG